CCUGUUUAUUCAAAAACAUGGCUUCUUGUUUUGAGAGUAGAAGAGGUCUGGCCUGCCCGGUGGAUAAUUUCUAAACGGUCGCAGCUGUCACUGUGCUAAGGUAGCGUAAUAGGUCGUCCUUUAAUUGGGGAAAUGAAUGAAUGGUCGGAUGAUGGAAAGGCUUUAUUAAUGAUAUUUUUUGAAUUUUACUUCUAUGUGCAAAGGCAUAGAUUUAUUUAUUAGACGAGAAGACCCUGUUGAGCUUGGUAUUUAGGGUUAGUGUUGGGAUUCGAAGUAUGUUUUUUCGGGGCCGAAAGGAAGGGAUAAAAUACCUUCUUUAUUGUAAUGAUCCAGCAAGGCUGAUAAGAGGAAGAUAGUUACCACAGGGAUAACAGCGCAAUUUUUUCAUCAAGGCCAUAUUUGAGAAGAAGGUUGCGACCUCGAUGUUGAAUCAAAAUUCCUAUCAGGUGCAGCAGCUUGGUAAGUGGGACUGUUCGUCCCUUGAAAUUUUACGUGAUCUGAGUUCAGACC
rnacentral:rRNA from 1 species